UACGUAGGGCGCAAGCGUUAUCCGGAAUUAUUGGGCGUAAAGAGCGUGUAGGCGGCCCGAUAAGUCCGCUGUGAAAGUCCAGGGCUCAACCCUGGAAUGCCGGUGGAUACUGUCGGGCUAGAGUGCGGAAGAGGCGAGUGGAAUUCCUGGUGUAGCGGUGAAAUGCGCAGAUAUCAGGAGGAACACCGAUGGCGAAGGCAGUUCUCUGGGCCUGCACUGACGCUCAUGCACGAAAGCGUGGGGAGCAAACAGG
rnacentral:rRNA from 1 species